AAGCGAAAGUUCUGCAUAAAAUUGUCUUUUUCCGCUUUGCUGCUGAUAAUUAUAAACAUGUCAACAGCAAAGUGAAAAGGUCUCCUUUAUGAGAACUUGCA
rnacentral:pre_miRNA from 1 species